ACCCCUAGCUCAACAAUACACACAACAGACACACACACACACACACAGGUCGAGAGAGAUGGCGAAGAAAAUAGUAGUUAUGGCUUUUGUUCUGUUUUUAAUUUCAUCUUGGGCUAUGGAAAUUGCUGAAUCUUCUGCUUACGACUGUAUUGAUUCUUGUUCCACUGGUUGUGUUAAUAGAGACGCUAGGCUUAUGGCGCGUUGUGAUCGCAAGUGCCAGAUAAAAUGCGAUCCAGAUCUUGAAGUGGGGGAAAAUCUAGGUUGAAGUCUUGGCUAGACAGGUGGAGCGCAUGAAUGAUGUUAGUGGGUACUUGUUGACAAUGUAGAAUAAAGAUUUUGUUAUCCAAUACAUUGUCAGUUGGAUUUGAAAUUUCACACAAUAAAUUUUAAUAUAUGAAAAUGUUGUUAGAAAUUUUAAUCUAUGAAACUUUAUUGACUUGAAUGGGAUUCUUUUUCUUUUAUUAUUAUUAAUUUUUUUGUUGGUGCCA